GCAGUCGAGCGAACACUUUGCUUAGAUUCUUCGGAUGAAGAGGAUUGUGACUGAGCGGCGGACGGGUGAGUAACGCGUGGGUAACCUGCCUCAUACAGGGGGAUAACAGUUAGAAAUGACUGCUAAUACCGCAUAAGACCACAGCACCGCAUGGUGCGGGGGUAAAAACUCCGGUGGUAUGAGAUGGACCCGCGUCUGAUUAGCUAGUUGGUAAGGUAACGGCUUACCAAGGCGACGAUCAGUAGCCGACCUGAGAGGGUGACCGGCCACAUUGGGACUGAGACACGGCCCAAACUCCUACGGGAGGCAGCAGUGGGGAAUAUUGCACAAUGGGGGAAACCCUGAUGCAGCGACGCCGCGUGAGCGAAGAAGUAUUUCGGUAUGUAAAGCUCUAUCAGCAGGGAAGAAAAUGACGGUACCUGACUAAGAAGCACCGGCUAAAUACGUGCCAGCAGCCGCGGUAAUACGUAUGGUGCAAGCGUUAUCCGGAUUUACUGGGUGUAAAGGGAGCGUAGACGGAUGGGCAAGUCUGAUGUGAAAACCCGGGGCUCAACCCCGGGACUGCAUUGGAAACUGUUCAUCUAGAGUGCUGGAGAGGUAAGUGGAAUUCCUAGUGUAGCGGUGAAAUGCGUAGAUAUUAGGAGGAACACCAGUGGCGAAGGCGGCUUACUGGACAGUAACUGACGUUGAGGCUCGAAAGCGUGGGGAGCAAACAGGAUUAGAUACCCUGGUAGUCCACGCCGUANACGAUGACUNCUAGGUGUCGGGUGGCAAAGCCAUUCGGUGCCGCAGCAAACGCAAUAAGUAGU
rnacentral:rRNA from 1 species